rnacentral:rRNA from 1 species
AACGAACGCUGGCGGCAUGCCUAAUACAUGCAAGUCGAACGAGAGCUUUGGGUCUAGUGGCGUUGGGGUGCGUAAGGAGUGGGAAGCUGCACUUAGGCUAGGAAUAACUCCCCGAAAGGGGUGCUAAUAGCGGAUAAUGUCAUUGGACGAAAGAUUUGUGGACUUUGGAUGGGACUGAGUUAGAUUGGCUAGUUGGUAGGGUAAAAGCCUACGAAGGCGACGUUCCAUAGCUGGUCUGAGAGGAUGAUCAGCCACACUGGGACUGCGGCACGGCCCAGAAGCCUACGUGAGGCAGCAGUGGGGAAUAUUAGACAAUGGGCUAAAGUCUGAUCCAGCAGUGCCGCGUGAGUAAUGAAGUCCUUAGAGUGAAAAAACGCUUUUACCCGAGAUGUUAAUGACGGUACCGGGAGAAUAAGCUCCGGCUAACUCCGUG